UAAAAAUAUACACCUAGCUAUCAGGCAUACAUAGAGAUAUAGGAGAGCAUAAGCAAAAGGCGAAUAAUCGGCAUUAGGUGGCGAGUUCUUGGUUAGAUGAGUCGAAUAAAGAAGCGACGCAUCGGAGUGUUGUUAAGUGUUCACAUCAAAAGUGGUUAUUACUCACUAUGCCUGACACCAUAUUAAACCAAUACUCGGUGCACUAACUAACAUUUGGACACUUCGUGGGACAGUGCCCGGAGCGCAAGAGCGCCAAUAUCAACAAUUAUUUAAGUGGCUCCGGCAGAAAGAAAAUACAGAGAAACGGGAGAAUUUACCCUAGCUCCAAUGCAUCACGCCAUGAACUCAUGGUAGGCAAGUCGACUCAGCAUUUGUGCAGCGCAAUGCGGUUCCCCGGAUAAAGGAAAUUUCCGAUUUCUGUCGCUUAGCGCGGAGCGCUGAACUUGAUUUGGGGGCAUCAGAAUUUUAUACAAAUCUACUUAGUUGCUAGGGCAAACAUACAUGUAUGCGUAUUACUAGUUGUUAACUUAUAUACGUGUAUGGUAUGGUAUGUAUGCUUAUCCAAUUACUUGAUGUUUUUGAUUUUAUUGUUGUUUCUUUAUUUUUUUCUGGCAUUUAAAAAUUGCAUAGUUACACUAUUUUCUGUUGUUUGUCUUGUCAGCUGUAAUUAUUAAAAAUUUAAUUAGUUGUUUAUCAUUGUCAGUGCACUGCUCAUUUAAGCGGACACCGUCUUUUAUAUGUUACCGAUAUGGAAUACACUAUUACAAUUUAUUAUUACAAUAAAACAUGAAACCGGGAGAUUUAUAUUGAGACAGAGAAA